GCGGUGGGGUGUGCUUAGCUCGAGGUUCGGAUGGCUCGCGUCGUCCCGCAGCCAGCCCUCGGAGGGCCCGGGCGCCGGGCAGGGCCCUGCGGCCUCCCCGAGUCUUGGGAGGCUGCUGCCGCGAGCGGGCCGGGCAGGAUGCUCCCGGCACCUGAACGCGUGGAGGGCAGCGGCCUGCUUUGGCCUCCGCCACGUUGUCGUUGAGACCUCAGGAGGCUCCAAGCGGCCCCGAGUCUGCUUUUCCAUGCCAGGAGACGGGGCGAUGGGGGUGGGGGCUUUUGAGUUCAUCGACUGUGUGUCAGGGAAUAUCCAAUGAGGGGAUUUUGUGCGUGUGAAAGGGAAAGGCUUCAUCGUGUAACAGCACGUAUGCCGACCAUGUGGUGUGAAAUCGGGUCAACGCGAGAGUGUCAUUUCAGGUGUAGAUCCUGAUAACUAUGUCAUGGUGCAGAAUUUGGCGGAAAUGAGCAUCACCAUCCUUGCAGGUGAAAGAUGGACGCUGAAGCAUAGACUGCUGCCAACUGAAUACUUAACUAUCUGGAAGCGUGAAGAUGACCUAAGGCUGUCCUUGGUGAGGAAUUUGACAACUUGAUCUUCAGGAGCUGCUUAGAGUAUUUAAAAUUUCCAGGAUUGUUUAAAAAAAAAAGUGCUUUUGGACAGCCCAUAAAUGUACAUAUAAAACAGUGGGACUGUAAAUAAAAUAAUGUGUUUCUUGGA